CCGCUGCCCAAAGCUUAGCUCCGCGCAGGUCGGAGUGAAAUGAAUGGCCAUCUCCACCUCAUCCCCCUCCUCCUCCCCUCCCCAUCCCCGCCUCUCACCCCCGCCCCUUCCCUCCUCUCCUCCUUCCCGCCCCCGCCGCCUUCCCCGCCGCCCACCCAUGGUCUCCCCCUCCGCGCCGCCGCCGACCCCCGCGCCGCGCACGCGGUGGCGGUCAAGUCCGGCGCGCUGGGCCCCUCCCUCUCCCCAGCCCACGCGGACGCCCGCGCCGCGAACGCCGUCAUGUGCGCGUACCUACGCGCGGGCCGCCUGGCCGACGCGCGCGGGGUGUUCGACCGGAUGCCCGCGCGCGACGCGGCCACCUACAGCGCGCUCAUCUCGGGCCACGCGCGCCUCGGCUCCCCGGCCGCCGCCGCCGCCGCGCUGCUCUCCCGCAUGCGCCUCGACGACGCGCUGGCGCCCACCGAGUACACCUUCGUCGGCCUCCUCACCGCCUGCGCGCGCAGGGGCAACCCGCGGCUCGGGGCCCAGGUGCACGCCCUCGCCGCCAAGUCUGGCCACUGCUCCUGCCCCGGCCCCGGCCCCGGCCCCGGACCGGGGUCGCUCCUCGUCGACAACGCGCUCCUCGGCAUGUACGUCAAGUGCGGCCGCCUCGGGGACGCGCUGAGGGCGUUCGGCGGGAUGGAGCGCCGCGACGUCUCGUCGUGGAACGCCGUCCUGGCCGGCCUCGUCGAGCUGGGGCGGCACGGGGAGGCGUUCGAGCUGUUCGGCGAGAUGCGGGCGGACGGGGUACGCGCCGACGGCUUCUCCCUGUCGGCGCUCCUGGCCGCGGCGGGGGAGGGGUUCGGCCUCCCCGAGGGGGAGGCGGUGCACGCGCUCUCGCUCAAGUCCGGGCUGGAGACGGACUUGAGCGUGGGUAACGCGCUCAUCGGGUUCUACGCCGAGCACGGCUGCUCCGUUGAAGACGUGGUCAGCGUGUUCCAAGGAAUGCCGGUGAAGGAUGUGAUCUCGUGGACUGGGUUGCUGAACGCGUACAUGGAGUUCGGUCUGGUCGACAUGGCUCUGGACGUGUUUGAUCGGAUGCCGCAGAGGAACUUUAUCACAUACAAUGCGGUCCUAACCGGUUUCUGUCAGAACAAGGAAGGUGUGCGGGUCACGUUCGCGAAGAAGGCAGGGCUCCGAGGCCUGAGGCUGUUUAGGCAGAUGGUGGAGGAUGGGCUGGAGAUCUCAGAUGUCACGGUGACUGGUGCCCUGAAUGCCUGUGCUAUUGCUGCAGAUAGGAAGAUGAGUGAGCAGGUUCAUGCUUUUGUGAUUAAGUGCGGCUGUGGCUCUACUCCUUGGAUUGAUGCUGCGUUGAUCGAUAUGUGCAUCAAGUGUGGCCGUUCCGGGGACGCACAUCUGCUGUUUGAGCAAUGGCGCCACCAAGAGAGCUUUCAUAUUGCUUGGAAUUCUUUGCUGCUGGCUAGUGUCAGAGAUGGUGAGUACGAGAAAGCACUUUCAACCUUCCUUCAGAUGUUUAGAAGCAGUGGUGUAGGAUUCAUUGAUGAGUUUAUGUUGACUGCUGCCCUUGGAGUAUGUGGUGCUCUAGGUUUUGCUGAACUUGGGAAGCAAAUGCAUUCCUUUUCUGCAAAAUCUGGGCUUCUGGAUGCUUGUGGAGUCGGUAAUGCUAUUAUCAGUAUGUAUGGCAAGUGUGGGGAGUUGGAUGAUGCAGUCAGUUUCUUUGAGCGGAUGACUUGUCGAGACCUGGUGUCAUGGAAUGCAAUGAUCACUGCCCAUCUUCUUCAUGGUCAGGGAGAAGAGAUAUUGGACAUAUGGGGCCAGAUGGAGAGAUUAGGCAUGAGGCCUGAUUCCAUUACCUUUCUUCUGGUCAUAUCUUCUUGCAGCCACACAAGCUCAGACUCUACAGACCAAUGCAGGGAACUCUUUGUUUCUAUGUCAAGCAAAUACGGAAUUGAACCAGCCAUGGAGCACUAUGCAGCAUUUGUUAACGUCCUUGGCUGCUGGGGUCACUUUGAUGAGGCAGAACAGCUUAUAGGCGGUAUGCCAUUCAAGCCUGGUGCGUUAGUUUGGCGGUCUUUGCUAGACAGCUGCAGCAAGCGCUCCAACACGACCGUCCGAAGAUGGGCUAUGAAGCAUCUGCUUGCAUUGGAACCACAGGAUCCAUCCACGUAUGUGCUGGCAUCAAACCUCUUCUCCGAAUCAGCAAGGUGGCACUCCUCCGAGAACACAAGACUGGAGAUGCGCGAGAAGGGCAUGCGCAAGAUCCCGGCACGGAGCUGGACGUUCCACGACAACGUCGUCCACUCGUUCUUUGCGCGGGACAGGUCGCACCCGCAGUCCAGGGACAUCUUCGCCGGCCUGGACGUGCUGAUCCUCGAGUGCAUCAAGGCUGGGUACGAGCCAGACACCACCUUCGUCCUGCACGACGUCGAGGAGUACCAGAAGCGGCACUUCCUGAUGUACCACAGCGCGAAGCUGGCGGCCAUGUACGGCCUCCUGACGGCACGCCCCGGUCGGACCGUCCGCGUCGUGAAGAACAUCCGCAUGUGCGGCGACUGCCACUCUUUCCUGGAGCACGCCUCCGCCGCCACCGGCAAGGUGCUCUCGGUGAGAGACUCGUCCGGGUUCCACGUCUUCAGGGGAGGGAGGUGUUCCUGCAGAGAAUAGGGACUGCCGGAAUGGUACCACCAUUUUUGACAUGCUUGCAGUUUAGGAAAAUACAGAAGAUAUCCCUGUAUUGAGGUUCUUGUACAUCACUGUGACAAUCUUCAGAAGCCUAACGCAUUCACGCGAGGACAUGCUCGGAUCAAAUCAAGACCAGCCAGGCAGCUUGCCCGUGCCGCCGCCACAGUACCGCCAGGCCAGGUAAGCGCAGAGGCAGCCGCCGGCGACGAGCCCCGCCGCCGCGAGAGCCUGCACGAACGCACGCGUCUCAUUAUAGGGCCCGGCGGUGAGCUGCCACGUGCAAAUCAAAUGCCUUCUCUGUACGUACUCACCUUGCGCGUGCCGGGCGGCUUCCCGGCGCGGCGGCCGUCGUCAGCGUCGGCCCCGGCCGGGACGAGCACGUCGUCGACCAAGGCGGCCGCGGCGCACCGGUCGUACGAGCCGCCGAGGCCGCGGCGGCCCGCCGGCGUCGCCAGCGGCCGGUCGUCGUCCUCCGCGUCGGAGUCGCUCCACGCCAGCAACCUCCUGUCCAGGGUCGGCAUGGCGGCCGGCGAGACGCCGGGGAGUUUCCCUGCCGCCGCACGCGGGGAAGCCAAACGGCCUGUCGCGCGGUUACUACCAAUUCGAGACCAACAACUGCCCGUUUAAUUACUUGGCGCUGGCGUUUCCAUUUUAUACGGGUGCCGGCGCCUGAUGGUCGAGCCCGUGGUUAGUUUCGUGCUGAUCGAGCUUGUGCUGGACUAGGUGCUAUCAUUAGGGUGUUAUGGACGGGUACUAGUUUUUCACA